rnacentral:rRNA from 1 species
GCUUAACACAUGCAAGUCGAACGGAAAGGCCCUGCUUUUGUGGGGUGCUCGAGUGGCGAACGGGUGAGUAACACGUGAGUAACCUGCCCUUGACUUUGGGAUAACUUCAGGAAACUGGGGCUAAUACCGGAUAGGAGCUCCUGCUGCAUGGUGGGGGUUGGAAAGUUUCGGCGGUUGGGGAUGGACUCGCGGCUUAUCAGCUUGUUGGUGGGGUAGUGGCUUACCAAGGCUUUGACGGGUAGCCGGCCUGAGAGGGUGACCGGCCACAUUGGGACUGAGAUACGGCCCAGACUCCUACGGGAGGCAGCAGUGGGGAAUAUUGCACAAUGGGCGGAAGCCUGAUGCAGCAACGCCGCGUGCGGGAUGACGGCCUUCGGGUUGUAAACCGCUUUCGCCUGUGACGAAGCGUGAGUGACGGUAAUGGGUAAAGAAGCACCGGCUAACUACGUGCCAGCAGCCGCGGUGAUACGUAGGGUGCGAGCGUUGUCCGGAUUUAUUGGGCGUAAAGGGCUCGUAGGUGGUUGAUCGCGUCGGAAGUGUAAUCUUGGGGCUUAACCCUGAGCGUGCUUUCGAUACGGGUUGACUUGAGGAAGGUAGGGGAGAAUGGAAUUCCUGGUGGAGCGGUGGAAUGCGCAGAUAUCAGGAGGAACACCAGUGGCGAAGGCGGUUCUCUGGGCCUUUCCUGACGCUGAGGAGCGAAAGCGUGGGGAGCGAACAGGCUUAGAUACCCUGGUAGUCCACGCUGUAAACGGUGGGUACUAGGUGUGGGGUCCAUUCCACGGGUUCCGUGCCGUAGCUAACGCUUUAAGUACCCCGCCUGGGGAGUACGGCCGCAAGGCUAAAACUCAAAGGAAUUGACGGGGCCCCGCACAAGCGGCGGAGCAUGCGGAUUAAUUCGAUGCAACGCGUAGAACCUUACCUGGGUUUGACAUGGAUCGGGAGUGCUCAGAGAUGGGUGUGCCUCUUUUGGGGUCGGUUCACAGGUGGUGCAUGGCUGUCGUCAGCUCGUGUCGUGAGAUGUUGGGUUAAGUCCCGCAACGAGCGCAACCCUUGUUCACUGUUGCCAGCACGUUAUGGUGGGGACUCAGUGGAGACCGCCGGGGUCAACUCGGAGGAAGGUGGGGAUGACGUCAAGUCAUCAUGCCCCUUAUGUCCAGGGCUCCACGCAUGCUACAAUGGCUGGUACAGAGAGUGGCGAGCCUGUGAGGGUGAGCGAAUCUCGGAAAGCCGGUCUCAGUUCGGAUUGGGGUCUGCAACUCGACCUCAUGGAGUCGGAGUCGCUAGUAAUCGCAGAUCAGCAACGCUGCGGUGAAUACGUUCCCGGGGCUUGUACACACCGCCCGUCAAGUCAUGAAAGUUGGUAACACCCGAAGCCGGUGGCCUAACCGUUGUGGGGGAGCCGUCGAAGGUGGGACUGGUGAUUAGGACUAAGUC